rnacentral:snoRNA from 1 species
AAGACUAUACUUACAGGAAUUAUUUCUAUAGUUCUUAACGAGAGAAUGUGUUUUGUAAGUGUUGCGUCUUUCAAACCACGAUAAUGCGCUUUGAUGUUCUUUUCCGAGCGUGAAUCUGAUGUAGAAUAAUGAAUUGUUUUACAAGCUUUACAUCACUGAUGAACGUUUCUUAUUGUGUUUUUGCAAUGAGGAGAAGAAGAGUAUGUUCAGAGUGGU